rnacentral:rRNA from 1 species
GACGAACGCUGGCGGCGUGCUUAACACAUGCAAGUCGAACGGUGAAGCGCCUUCCUUUUUGGUGGGUGUGGAUGAGUGGCGAACGGGUGAGUAACACGUGAGUAACCUGCCCCCUUCUUCUGGAUAACCGCAUGAAAGUGUGGCUAAUACGGGAUAUUCUGGGUCUGUCGCAUGAUGGGUCUGGGAAAGAUAUUGUUUCGGUGGGGGAUGGGCUCGCGGCCUAUCAGCUUGUUGGUGGGGUGAUGGCCUACCAAGGCGGUGACGGGUAGCCGGCCUGAGAGGGUGGACGGUCACACUGGGACUGGGACACGGCCCAGACUCCUACGGGAGGCAGCAGUGUGGAAUAUUGCACAAUGAGCGCAAGCCUGAUGCAGCGACGCCGCGUGAGGGAUGGAGGCCUUCGGGUUGUGAACCUCUUUCGCCAGUGAAGCAGGCCUGCCUCGUUUGUGGGUGGGUUGACGGUAGCUGGAUAAGAAGCGCCGGCUAACUACGUG